UCUGCUGCGAAAAUUCCCAGUCUUUGCUCCCUGUCUUCUUCUCCACACAGCUCAAAGAAGCUCAGUUUGUGUCACAUCCUUCUCCCACAGCAAGGGCUUGACCCCAUUGUUGUGGACGCUCAUGUUUCUCGGUUGUCCUGAGCAAGCUCUUUGUCAUCAUCAUUGUCCCAACUGGAUUGCACACAGGAUCUGCUACCAUUGCCUUGGAACAACUCCUGGCCAGCGGAGUCUUCCUCUUUGGAAAGCUCUUGGCCAACAGAGUCCUCCCAGUCAGACAGUUGUGGGGAGCUUCUGACAGCUCCUUGGGACAGCCCCUGCUCCUUGCAUUCUUCCCCAUGGAAAAUUCUUGGUAGCUGAGGGUUUCUCCCUGGGACAGCUCCUGCUCUCCUCAUCCCAGCUGGAGAGCUCUCCACAGCUACUGACAUCUCCUUGGGAGAGCUCUCUCUCAAGAGACUCUUCCCAUCAGAGAUCUCUUGGUAGCUCCUAACAUCUUCCCAUUGGGAAAGCUCAUGAUCCACAUCAGAUUCCUGCUCAUCCUCAGUCUCUGACACACCCAUUGCCCCACCAAGUGCUGAGGGCUUGCUCUUCUGACCAGCUGGGCAAGGGGCUGGGGAUGAGGGGUGUCCCUCAGGGCUCUGCCUUGGCCCCAGGGCUCUUGCAUGGCUUCCCUAAUGACACAGACAGCAGAUCCAGCUCAGCCUCAGCAGAUUUACAUGGGACAGGAAGCUGAGCAGGGCAGGGACACCAUGGAAGGACAAGGCCUUGCACAGGGACCUGGACAAGCUUGACAAGUGGGACCACAAGAACCUCACAAGGUUCAACAAGGCCGAGGCCCAGGUGCUGCACCUGGCCCGGGGCAAUUCCCAAGUCCUGGAUUCAUCAAGGUUGGAAGAGACCUUCAAAUGCCUCAGAUCAGCCCUGCCUCCCUGACCACUCCAGCACUGGAAAGUGUUGGGUCUGAGAUUACCCCAAGUGCCAUGUUACAGAAAUAAGCAUCAAUGCUUAUAGUUAUUCAUAGUUAUUUAAUUUAAUCAUAGUUAUUUAAUAAAUUUCAUUUUUAAAGCUGUGAACACAACAAUUUACAAAAAAAAGUAUAUUCAGUCCCUGAAAUUAAAAUAAAUACAAAAACAAACAUAUUGCAAAGAGAUAAAAUCAAUACAAACUUUUCCCACUGAUUGUCUCAGUGCUCCAGAGUCUGUUUUCUAUAUGAAAGGUUCAUAAGAGGCCAUUCAUGCAGUCUAACAUGAGGUUUGAUACUACUGCUUUGUCUGGAGAGUGCAACAGUGUAAAAUAUGCUUAGUUUGUCAAAACUGCACUUUGGCCAGAAGAGCUUUUUGCAGCAUGUGUGAUGCCACCUUUACCUGCAAGGUGGCUAUAUCUCUUUAUUGAGAUUUUAUAGCCUCAGCCUGUGGUGGAACCACUGCCUACUGUUCACUGACCUGGAAAUCUUCAUUCCUGAAAUGUGAUCCCUCAGCAUGUCCCCUCCUGGAAGAGGGGACCACUUCCCCUUUCACAUGCAGCAUUUCAGCCUUUCUCCCAGAGACAGGUAACAGCCCUGUCCUUCUUCCUGCUGGCCAUGGCAGGUUUGCUCAAGAGUUGUGGGGCCAGAAGAGGCACAAAGCCAGAACACUGGUCCCCAAGGUUGUCCUGCCCUCAUGUGGACUCUCCAAUUUGUUUUCUGUAGCCCCUUUCUAGGUGACGCUCAACCCAUGGGACACAUCUCAUCCAUCUGAGUCACCAUUUGCUGGAUCCGGUUCUUUUCUCUCCACCAGAGAGCGCCAGGAUCCCCAGAGGUGCUGAUGCUGGGACUCGCCAGGAGUGAGCGCCUCUGAACCCUUCAGACAAAUAAAUGCCUGAGGACACUGAGACCAGCUGGCUUUGGGAAUGUGGCUCAUCAGAAAGGACUUGAGUCACAGCGUGCUCUCCUCUGUAUCUCACACUCUGCUGCUGUUGUCACCAGACUUUCUCUGAUCUCUUCUUCUGCCUCGUUGUCCUUUGUUCCUUCAGCCUGCAGAGCCUGCAAACCCCAGCAUGGGUUUUUCCUUCCAGCAGAAGCAUCCCUGGAUCUCAGUAAUCCCAGCAGAUUUUUGACACCAGUGGGCUUCACUGGGGAGAUUCACGUGGCUGGGUGAGAGCCUGAACCCUCCACUAUCAGCUCAAGCUGCUGACUACAGCCAGAGCUCCAUGACAAUGAAGAGCUCCAUCCAUCCUGGAUCCUGGACUGACAAGACAUUAAUAAAUUGUUAAGGGUUUAUCAAUUUAAAGCAAAUUAUUUGUCAGCAGAAACUGACUUUCAAUGUACUUUUUCAACACAUGCAAAAUGAAAGGGAAAUAAAAGUUGUGUACGUUGCUUCGUUACAGCCAA